AUUGAACGCUGGCGGCAUGCCUUACACAUGCAAGUCGAACGGCAGCACGGGUGCUUGCACCUGGUGGCGAGUGGCGAACGGGUGAGUAAUAUAUCGGAACGUACCUUAUUGUGGGGGAUAACGCAGCGAAAGCUGUGCUAAUACCACAUAAUCCCUAAGGGGGAAAGCGGGGGACCGUAAGGCCUCGCGCAAUUAGAGCGGCCGAUACCUGAUUAGCUAGUUGGUGAGGUAAAGGCUCACCAAGGCAACGAUCAGUAGCUGGUCUGAGAGGACGAUCAGCACCACUGGGACUGAGACACGGCCCAGACUCCUACGGGAGGCAGCAGUGGGGAAUUUUGGACAAUGGGGGCAACCCUGAUCCAGCAAUGCCGCGUGAGUGAAGAAGGCCUUCGGGUUGUAAAGCUCUUUUGUCAGGGAAGAAACAGCAGCUCUAACACAGUAUGCGAAUGACGGUACCUGAAGAAUAAGCACCGGCUAACUACGUGCCAGCAGCCGCCGUAA
rnacentral:rRNA from 1 species